UGGGGAAUAUUGCACAAUGGGCGAAAGCCUGAUGCAGCAACGCCGCGUGAGUGAUGACGGUCUUCGGAUUGUAAAGCUCUGUCUUUGGGGACGAUAAUGACGGUACCCAAGGAGGAAGCAACGGCUAACUACGUGCCAGCAGCCGCGGUAAUACGUAGGUGGCAAGCGUUGUCCGGAUUUACUGGGCGUAAAGGGUGCGUAGGCGGACCUUUAAGUGAGAUGUGAAAUCCCCGAGCUUAACUUGGGGGCUGCAUUUCAAACUGGAG
rnacentral:rRNA from 1 species